AUUGAACGCUGGCGGCAUGCCUUACACAUGCAAGUCGAACGGCAGCACGGGAGCAAUCCUGGUGGCGAGUGGCGAACGGGUGAGUAAUAUAUCGGAACGUGCCCAGCCGUGGGGGAUAACGCAGCGAACGCUGUGCUAAUACCGCAUAUGAUCUACGGAUGAAAGCGGGGGAUCGCAAGACCUCGCGCGCUUGGAGCGGCCGAUAUCAGAUUAGCUAGUUGGUGGGGUAAAGGCCCACCAAGGCGACGAUCUGUAGCUGGUCUGAGAGGACGACCAGCCACACUGGACCGGCGACACGGUCCAGACUCCUACGGGAGGCAGCAGUGGGGAAUUUUGGGCAAGGGGCGCCAGCCUGAUCCAGCAAUGCCGCGUGCAGGAUGAAGGCCUUCGGGUUGUAAACUGCUUUUGUACGGAACGAAACGGCCCUUUCUAAUACAGGGGGCUAAUGACGGUACCGUAAGAAUAAGCACCGGCUAACUACGUGCCAGCCGCCGCGGUAAAAC
rnacentral:rRNA from 1 species